rnacentral:sRNA from 1 species
AAAAUUUCACCGGUUGCUGAGCACAGUAGAUCCUGCCUGUUAUUUCAGAACUUUGGGAGGCCAAACUGGGAGAAUCUCUUGAGGACAGGUUUUGGGACCCUGGCCCAGCUGCGGACCCCCUGACCGACCUGCGCUACGUGUGGGGCGGCUUCGUGUACCUGCAGGACCUGGUGGAGCGCGCAGCCGUCCGCGUGCUCAGCGGCGCCAACCCCCGGGCCGGCCUCUACCUGCAGCAGAUGCCCUAUCCGUGCUAUGUGGACGACCUGGGGGACAUCCUCCCCUACAGCCACCCGGGCGUGGUCUUCCUGUUCUUGGCAGCCUUCGCGGUGGCCACGGUGACCCAGAGCUUCCUGCUCAGCGCCUUCUUCUCCCGCGCCAACCUGGCUGCGGCCUGCGGCGGCCUGGCCUACUUCUCCCUCUACCUGCCCUACGUGCUGUGUGUGGCUUGGCGGGACCGGCUGCCCGCGGGUGGCCGCGUGGCCGCGGUGAGAGCCGGGUCGGGCGUGGAUGGGGGACGCCCCCCGCUUCGGCUGCUCACUGACCUCCCGCUUUUCCGCAGAGCCUGCUGUCGCCCGUGGCCUUCGGCUUUGGCUGCGAGAGCCUGGCUCUGCUGGAGGAGCAGGGCGAGGGCGCGCAGUGGCACAACGUGGGCACCCGGCCU